rnacentral:tRNA from 1 species
GCGAAAGUGGCGGAAUUGGUAGACGCACCAGACUUAGGAUCUGGCGCUCAAAAGGCGUGGGGGUUCGAGUCCCCCCUUUCGCA